rnacentral:snRNA from 1 species
UUGCUUCAGUAGUACAUAUAGUAAAAUUGGAAUAAUAUAAAGAAGAUUAGCAUGACCCCUGCGCAAAGAUGGCAUGCAAAUUUGUGAAGCAUUCUAUUUUUUU